UUACUUACCCUGUAUCUGUAGAGCGGUCGGUGUAUCUUGUUUGGAUGCAUAGUACAUACGUUUAAUAGCUUCUAACUGGAACUAAUGUAGGAUUUUACUCUUAAAGGUACCUCAUUUUAGUUGAUCUGGUUCAGGAUUCUGCCUAUAGUCACUGUAGGAUUCUGCCAGUAGUCAAUUUAUCAAUUAGCAUCCUGCCAAUAGUCAAUGUAUCGAUAAGGAUUCAGCCAAUAGUCACUGCAUCAGUUAGGAUUUUGCUUAUGAACUAAUAUUAUUCUUGCUAUAAGCAUCGCAAUGCUUUGGUGCUGUGAUUUGUUUUUAUUCAAUUAUUCGUAGGUGAAUGUAAUGCCCUGUGGCCGUCGGCGGCUCGCCGGCAGCGUGAGAUCAACACAGGCAGAGAGAUUGGAGUAUGGUUGGGGAAGGGGAAGACCCUGAACCCCGAUAGGAUAUUUCCUUCUCAUUCAGAAACAACAACGAUACACACUGUUUCCCGUUCGACACCUUUAACAGCUAACACGCCGGCUGACAAUUCAGCCCCACCUGUAAGGCACACUCGCACACAUCUGUAAUACACACAUACCACGCACUCCUGAACACGUAUUCCCCUCGCUGCGCCUACUCCGCCUCUUCCAGGCAUUACAUCUCCCCCGGCUGCAGAUGUUGCUUGUCCCCAAGCAACGGCGUCAGGAAACCUGUGCUUGACAACGUAAAAGUCUUCCCACAUUGAUGAAGUAGCAGGAAUGCCUGUCCACUUGACCACAACUUGAGGAAUGGCUCUGGAUCCUUUCUUCACCAGAUGGCGAUCAAGCACAGCUUCAGGUGACAAGUCUUGUGCAGACAUAUCUGUCAAUUUUGGUAGUUCCUUGAAGACUGGGGUGUAAUUGGGUGUGAAUGGCUUGAGUUGAGAGACAUGAAAAACUGGGUGAAUGAGACUGCCCUCUGGCAAUUUCAACUUAUAGGCAGCCUGGCCGAGUUUCUGUUCCACUUCAAAGGGGCCAAAGUACUUGAAGGCAAGUUUUGGAUAAGGCCUUGUUACCACUGACUGUUGGAUAUAAGGUUGAAGUUUGAGUAAAACUUGCUCGCCCACCUGAAAACUUCUGUCAACACGGUGGCCAUCUGCCUGAAGCUUGAAACGAUUUUGUGCAGCAGCCAAACGUUGCUUCAGGGAGGCCAACUGAUGCUCCCUUUGUUGCAGAAACUCAACAGCUGGAUUGACAUCUUGAGGUUCCAGGGGUAAGAAUGUGCCCAAGUCUGCAUCAUACCCAUACAAAGCUCUAAAAGGAGAGCAGCCCAAAGAAGUGUGAUAAUUGGAAUUGUACCAUAAUUCAGCCAAAGAAAGCCAAGUUUUCCACUGUUUGGGUGAAUCUUGGGCAGCACAUCUCAGGUACAUUUCAAGGCACUGAUUGACACGCUCAGUUUGACCAUCUGUUUGAGGGUGGUAAGCUGAACUCCGUAGCAACUUUGUGUCCACCAAUUUAAACAGUGCUGUCCAAAAAUUACUUGUGAAGAUUUUAUCUCUGUCAGAGACAAUUGUCCUGGGCAUGCCAUGUAAUUUGACCACAUUGUCAAGUACUACUUUUGCCACUGCUUGUGCAUUGAAUGGAUGUUUGAGAGGAAUAAAAUGGCUGUAUUUGGUGAACCUAUCAACAACCACCAAUAUGACAUUACACCCUUCUGACAGUGGCAAGCCUUCUAUAAAAUCCAUAGAUAUAUCCUGCCAAGCACCUUGAGGAAUGGGAAGAGGUUGCAGCAAACCACUUGGAUGGGUGUUCUCAUGUUUUGCUUGCUGGCAGAUUGUACAUUGUUUGACAAAGUUGUCCACAUCAGUUUUCAAACCUUUCCAAUAAAAAAGUUGCUUGAGUCUGUAAUGUAGCUUUUGUGCCAGAGUGGCCUCCAAUAGCACUAGUGUGUAAGGCAUCAAUUAGUCUUGUUUGUAAGGCUGAAUUUGCAGCAAUCCAGAUUUUGUUAUUGAACUUGAUGAGCCCUUGAUGUAAUGAGAACACUUGUUCAUCUGGAGAUUUGAUUGCCAGCCUGGUUAAUAGUUCUUGAGCUUGAGGAUCAGUAGUAUAAGAAUUAAGCACCUCUUGGACCCACACAGGUUGAGCUUCAGAAAUAGCUUGUAUUGCUAGCAAAUGACAACAUCUUGACAAAGCAUCAGCUGCUACAUUUUCUUUGCCCUUUCUGUAGAUGACUUUAACCCCAUAAGCCUGGUCAUUGCUUUUCUUUGCAUUUCUGAGUGGAGGUUUUGCUCACUGAGAUAAGAUAAGCUCUUGUGAUCUGUUUUGAUGAUAAACUCUUGUCUCUGGAGAUAUGGCCUCCAUUUCUCAACUGCCAUUAUCAAAGCCAAGAACUCCUUUUCAUAGAUAGAUAAUUUCUGAUGGUUGGGUCCUAAUGCUUUACUCAUGAAAGCCACCGGUUGAUCUCCUUGCAUCAGCACGGCUCCCACUCCUGAGUCAGAAGCAUCUGUUUCAAUAGUAAAUGGUUUAGUGAAAUUUGGAAUGGCUAACACUGGAGCUGUUACCAUUGCUUCCUUUAACUUGUCAAAGGCUGCUUGAGCUAGUGCAGACCACUCAAAUUGCUUUUUCUUGAGCAGAACAGUCAAAGGUUUGGCCAUCAAACCAUAAUGCUUGAUAAAUUUUCUGUAGUAGCCUGUGAGACCCAGAAAUCCCCUCAACUCAGUUACAUUGGUAGGAAUUGGCCACUCAAGCAUUGCUUCUAUUUUGGUUGGAUCAGUAGCCACACCCUGAUCAGAAAUUAUGUGGCCCAAGUAAUCAAGCUGGUGUUGAGCAAAAGAACAUUUGCUGUGCUUGAGGAAGAAGUGGUGUUCCCUGAAUUUUUCCAGAACAAGUCUGAGAUGCUGGAUAUGUAAUGCCAAGGUGGGGCUAUAAAUCAAGAUAUCAUCCAGAAACACUAGCACAAAUUUCCUCAGGAAUGGACCCAAAAUCUCAUUCAUUGUGCACUGAAAAGUUGCUGGGGCAUUGGUAAGCCCAAAUGGCAUGACCCUAAACUGGUAAUGGCCCUGGUGAGUCUUAAAGGCUGUUUUAUGUUCAUCACAUUCCUUCAUCCUCACUUGGUGGUAGCCAGCUCUCAUAUCCAACUUAGUGAAAUAUUUAGUACCAGCAAGUUCAUCCAAUAUUUCAUCAAUAAUAGGCAUGGGAAAUCUGUUCUUAAUAGUGAUGUCAUUGAGUUUCCUAUAAUCAACACAAAAACGCCAAGUGCCAUCUUUGUUCUGAACUAGAAGGACAGGGGAAGCAUAAGGACUUGUACUUGGAGUUAUAAGGCCAGCAACUAAGAGUUCUUGCACUUGUCUUUCUAUUUCAUCCUUGUGUAAAGGUGAGUAUCUGUAAGGUUUAGAGUUGACAGGAAUAGCACCUGGAAUAAUGGGAAUGGGAUGGUCAUACACUCUGGGUGGAGGCAACUCUUUAGGCUCAGCAAAGAUAUCUGCAAAUUCAUCCAAGACCUCUUGAACUGCAUCAGGUACAGGUACUGGUUCUUGAGGUGGUAGAGCUUUGACUAUGGCAAAAGCCCAUAUAUCAUUGCCAGCAUCCCACUUCAGCAGUUUGUCAGCUGAGAGCUCCUGAAUAGCUAGAUUGCUGGUCUUAACUCCUUGAAUAGUGACAUGUGCACCAUUAUGACAAAAUUCCAUGGUCUUAUGCUCCCAAUGGUGUGUAAUGGGGCUGUGUUGUUUGAGCCAAUCAUAGCCCAAUAUGCAAUCAUAAGCCUCUAGAUGCAAAACUCUCAUAUCACAAGUAAAAGUAUGUCCUUGUAUCCACCAGGCUAGUUGGGGUACCACCUGGUCAGAAACCAAUACUUCUCCAUUUGCUACUUGAACUACCUUUGGGGGUGCUGGUACUGGUUGUAUGCCAACCUUCUGUAAAAAUCUGGAGCUAACAAAACAAUGGGAACUACCACUAUCCACGAGCAUCAACACCUUGUUCUUGACAAGAGCCCUCAACCUCAUAACUUCUCCUUCAUCUGUACCAGCAAUGGCAUUCAAGGACAGAGUACCAAAAUCAGCAGCUAAAGCAUCCUCAAUGUCCAGCUGAGUUAAGACUUCUUCAGUUAACUGGAUGUCCAAAUCGUUAAGUAUCAAGGCAUUGGCUUGAGCUUUUGGUCUUUUAGUGCAUUUAGCAGCAUGGGUAGCAUCAUAAGGUUCCCUGCAAUAGAAACACAGGUUAUGGGUUCUGCAGUAAUCUCUGAGUUGUCUCUCCUUAGAAAGUGUAGGGGUGGUGGCUGCUUUGGGCUGUUCCAAUUUACCAGCAGAGGAAGUAGAAGCCCAUCUGUUGCUGCCCAAAGGUUUCAGACUCUUUUUGGUAUUCUUUUCUUGUUUCUGUUGUUGUAUUCUUGCCAACAUUACUGCUCUCUCCAUUGAGUGGGGGACUUGACCCUGAACUGCAUACCUGAUGUCAGGCUUUAACCCCCUGAUGAACUGGGAAACAAAAUAUGUGUCAGGCAUGCCCCCACUAUGCAUGUCUACUUGAAAUUGAAGUGUUUCAAAAGCAGCUGCAUAAUCUUCUACUGAGCCAACUUGUUUGAGAUCCAAUAAUGCAUCUAUGGCAUGUUGAUAGUCAUAUGCUCCAAACUUCUGCUCUACAUCCUUGAUGAAUUGAUCCCAAUUGUCCACCAUAUUUUUCCUGUUGUAAACUCUAAACCACCUUGAGGCAUUUUCAUCCAUAUGCAUGACUGCCGUCAUAAUCUUCAUAUGGUCAGGUAUAUCAAACAUCUGAAAGUAAGUUUCACACUUGUCACGCCAAAUUGUUGGGUCCUGACCUUCAAAUCUGGGAAACUGCAUUUUGGGCAAUGAGUUCUUGUGAGCAGUAUGCCCAAAAGGACGCCCACCAGUAGCAGAACGAUGGUAAUGUGGUUCCCCAAAAGCUGAAUGGUCCUGGCGGUAGUGAUUCUGACGAUGAGCAGUAUUGGUGGAUGGUGUUGGACUGUCCCCAUUGCCCUGAUCUUCUUUCCUCAUCUGUUCCAAAGUAAGCGUUGCUACUGCUUGACCAGUAGUCUCCAAUUGCUGGGCUAGGACUUGUUGCUCUCUCAUGGACAGAUCCAUGGCCUUACUGUUGAUAUCCAACUUGACCUGCAUUUGCUGCUGAGCAAUGUGAAGGUCCUCUAUCUUGGAGAACAGUAGAUCAACAGAUUCCAUCAACCUAUCCAGCUUUGCGUCAGCCUUCGCAGCUCCCUCCGCCAUGGCGUCCAGAAGCAACUGAGACUGCACUGAAGGUUUGGGUGGAGCCGUGGUGAAUUGCCCACAAAUCGACCCGUGAUGGAAUGGGAUUUACAGGAAGUCAAUCGCCGUCGCCGGUGCCACGCGGCAAACGACGAGACCUCAGCAAACCCACCCCGUUUACGGCUCAGAUCAACAGAGUUCUGCAAUUUGACCCACCAGCAACCGAUCCAAGGCCUUGUGCCCCAAAAUCGUCGGAGGGAAGAAGGAAUUGUAAAGUGGAACACCUGAAUCAGAGAGAUGAAGCACCGCCGCCGUGCGCCGCCUGCUCCGCCGAUGUGGCGCACCACCGCCACCCCCAACACCCACGCCGAGGAAGAUGAGUCUCUGAUACCAACUGUAAUGCCCCGUGGCUAUCGGCGGCUCACUGGCGGCGUGAGAUCAACAUAGGCAGAGAGAUUGGAGUAUGGUUGGGGAAGGGGAAGACCCUGAACCCCGAUAGGAUAUUUCCUUCUCAUUCAGAAACAACAACGAUACACACUGUUUCCCGUUCGACACCUUUAACAGCUAACACGCCGGCUGACAAUUCAGCCCCACCUGUAAGGCACACACACGCACACAUCUGUAAUACACACACACCACUCACUCCUGAACACGUAUGCCCCUCGAUGCGCCUACUCCGCCGCUUCCAGGCAUUACAGUGAAGUAAGCGAGAAGGUUGUAUGAUAGAUCAUUCUGUCUGCCCAUGACAUUUCCAAUUAAGUAGAACUCUGAAGUCUGAAGGCAUUAUCAUUAAGUCACAGUACAUGAUAUUUGGGUUCAGAGAAUCGAUGGAGUUUGUGGCAUUGUGGUCUUACAUAUAG
rnacentral:lncRNA from 1 species